CAGUUGGACGAGACCGAGGAAUACGGGUGUCGCUCACCGGGCAACAGGCUGCAAGUGGCGGUUGACAUUUUGGUUGGGUUCGGCACAAGGAUCACAUGCCAGCCGGCGAUCAACAACUUUCUUAAGACAGAUGUGGAUGUUUAUGCUGGCAGUUGGGGACUGCAUGCCCUUCUCUGAAGCACAGAAGCAGCAACCCUCGGGCACAAACAGCUGCCAUGUGGUACAUGUCAGCCUCCUUUACACACUGCAAAAGCACGCAAAGGAGGGAAGCACUGUUGGUGGAGGUCUAAACCCCCUGGAGCGGAUAGAGGGAUUUCAGGUGUCAAGGGAGAGAGAGAAAGAGUCAGAGAGGGGUGUGAAUAAUACAUCAGAGAGGGAAGAAGAAAGUGGGAAAGAGUCGGGAGGAGAGAAUGAGGGAGACAUAAAAGGUGGGAGGUGGAGAGAAAGAGAAACAGAUAUAAAGAGGGUGUCAAAAGGACGGAGAGUCAGAUAGGGAGGAAGCCUGAGAGAUGGGAAUAAGAAAGGUGAUUGACAGUUUUCUUGGAGGGCAACCAUGACAGGAAAACACACAUCUAUAAAAGUCAUGCAUUUGUACAUCCAUCCAUCCAUCUUUUCAUCCAUCCAUCUGUUCCUCCCUCCUUCCGUCUCUUUCCUGCCUCCAGUGUGGACAGGAGUUGUUGCAUAAGACAGCGAUUCAUCUUUUAUUGAGAUGGGAAGCUUCCAUAAAUAUGUCUACCUUGUUCUCUGGAGUUUUAAAGCUCAACCUGUAAUCCAGCUAAAAAUAUACAAAGGAUACCCACAACAACAACAAAUGAAAAUAUACUGUAGAAGCACAACUUCUUUCCUAAAUUAUUUCAGAAGUGUUUUGCUGAAAAUGAAUUCUAUUUUCAGAUUUCCUUUAAAUUGCUGUGCUCUACUGACAAAGGUUUAACAUGACUUACAAUUAUAUAGAAGUCAAAGGUUGACUGAUAUGUGAUUUUAAAGGCCAAUGGCAAUAUUUUUUGUACUGAUGCUGCCAGAUACCCAUCUAUGCUGAUAUUAAUUUAUUUUAAAUGUAACAAUGUGAAUCACAUGUAUUUGUUGACUGUCAGGGACUCAAAAACUGUCCAGUAAGACCCAGACUGAUUAAUCAAUGAAAGGUUCAAAUAGAAUAAAAGUUUACUGUAAAGUUUUAUAUACUCAGUGUAGUACAUGGCUGCCCAAUAUUAAACAUGUAAUAUGAAGUGUUAUGUGUUUAGUGUUGUAUCCUUGUUAUAAAUCCUUGUAUCCUUGUUAUACAUUUAUCUUAUUUGUGUUUCCAUCACUUCUGUUUUCUGAUAUAAUCUGAAAUACAUCAUUUACUCAGACUUUUUUUUUCUUUAAAUUUAAAGUACUAUGAAACUUUAGACAGCAAAAAAAAGUUAUGAAGUUUAGUAGGGCAGUAAUUAUAUUGUUUAUCACUACAAGAUAGUUGGUCUAACUGUAUUUAUAUAAAACCUCACAAAAACCAUUUGGUAUAAAUGUUGCAUAUCAGAGUUUAGAGUACUGUUUAUAACCCUG